rnacentral:rRNA from 1 species
CCUACGGGAGGCAGCAGUGAGGAAUAUUGGUCAAUGGGCGUAAGCCUGAACCAGCCAAGUCGCGUGAGGGAUGAAGGUUCUAUGGAUCGUAAACCUCUUUUAUAAGGGAAUAAAGUGCGGGACGUGUCCCGUUUUGUAUGUACCUUAUGAAUAAGGAUCGGCUAACUCCGUGCCAGCAGCCGCGGUAAUACGGAGGAUCCGAGCGUUAUCCGGAUUUAGUGGGUUUAAAGGGUGCGUAGGCGGCCUUUUAAGUCAGCGGUGAAAGUCUGUGGCUCAACCAUAGAAUUGCCGUUGAAACUGGGAGGCUUGAGUAUGUUUGAGGCAGGCGGAAUGCGUGGUGUAGCGGUGAAAUGCUUAGAUAUCACGCAGAACCCCGAUUGCGAAGGCAGCCUACCAAGCCAUGACUGACGCUGAUGCACGAAAGCGUGGGGAUCAAACAGGAUUAGAUACCCCUGUAGUC